UAGCGUAUAUUAAAGUUGUUGCGGUAAAAAAGCUCGUAGUUGGAUUUCUGUUGAGUGCGUCCGGUCUACACCAUGUGUAGUAUCUGGUAAUGCGCUCGGCAUCCUCCCGAGUUGUUUCUGCGCUUGACUGCGUGGAGCAUCGCUCGGGACUUUUACUUUGAGGAAAUUAGAGUGUUCACGGCAGGCCCUUGCCUGAAUACAUUAGCAUGGAAUAAUACUAUAGGAUCUCGGUUCUAUUUUGUUGGUUUCUAGGAUUGAGAUAAUGAUUAAUAGGGACAAUUGGGGGCAUUCGUAUUAACACGCU
rnacentral:rRNA from 1 species